CAGUCGCCGCGGGAAUACGAAGGGUGCAAGCGUUACUCGGAAUUACAGGGCGUAAAGCGUGCGUAGGUGGUGGUUUAAGUCCGUUGUGAAAGCCCUGGGUUCAACCUGGGAAUUGCAGUGGAUACUGGGUCACUAGAGUGUGGUAGAGGAUAGUGGAAUUUCCGGUGUAGCAGUGAAAUGCGUAGAGAUCGGAAGGAGCAUCUGUGGCGAAGGUGACUAUCUGGGCCAACACUGACACUGAGGCACGAAAGCGUGGGGAGCAAACAGGAUUAGAUACCCGAGUAGUCCCUGUCUCUUAUAC
rnacentral:rRNA from 1 species